rnacentral:tRNA from 1 species
GUGGGCGUAGCUCAGUUGGUAGAGCACCGGAUUGUGGUUCCGGCGGUCGUGGGUUCGAUCCCCAUCGUCCACCCCA